rnacentral:rRNA from 1 species
AUUGAACGCUGGCGGCAGGCCUAACACAUGCAAGUCGAGCGAGCGGCGGACGGGUGAGUAAUGUAUGGGGACUGCCCGUUAGAGGGGGAUCACUACUGGAAACGGUAGCUAAUACCGCAUACUAUCGGAUAACCCAUAUGGGAUUAGCUAGUAGGUGAGUUAAUGGCCAACCUAGGCGACGAUCCCUAGCUGGUCUGAGAGGAUGAUCAGCCACACUGGGACUGAGACACGGCCCAGACUCCUACGGAGGCAGCAGUGGGGAAUAUUGCACAAUGGGCGCAAGCCUGAUGCAGCCAUGCCGCGUGUAUGAAGAAGGCCUUAGGGUUGUAAAGUACUUUCAGUAGGGAGGCGGUACCGACAGAAGAAGCACCGGCUAACUCCGUGCCAGCAGCCGCGGUAAUUC